rnacentral:rRNA from 1 species
AUUGAACGCUGGCGGCAUGCUUUACACAUGCAAGUCGAACGGCAGCGGGUCCUUCGGGAUGCCGGCGAGUGGCGAACGGGUGAGUAAUGCAUCGGAACGUACCGUGUAAUGGGGGGAUAACGUAGCGAAAGUUACGCUAAUACCGCAUACGCCCUGAGGGGGGAAAGCGGGGAUCGCAAGACCUCGCGUUAUACGAGCGGCCGAUGUCGGAUUAGCUAGUUGGUGGGGUAAAGGCCCACCAAGGCGACGAUCCGUAGCGGGUCUGAGAGGAUGAUCCGCCACACUGGGACUGAGACACGGCCCAGACUCCUACGGGAGGCAGCAGUGGGGAAUUUUGGACAAUGGGGGCAACCCUGAUCCAGCCAUGCCGCGUGCGGGAAGAAGGCCUCGGUUGGUAA